CCAGCUGUGCGCCCCGGUGGGGAGGGGGGUGGCAGAGCUCGGGCGCUGGGCACCUCGGGGUCCUUCGGUGGCUCUCCCUUCGCUGGUGGUCGCUGGGAGCCCGCCGGGGGCUGGACGGGGCCUGGGGGUCCCUGUGGCUCCUGGAGCGCUGCCGGUGCGGGGCCAGGGCCGCUGCCGGGGCCAGGCACGUCACCACGGGCCUGUCUGGGGCUCUGCAGUGGGCAGCACCCGCCGGCCGGGAGCAGGGUGGGAUCCGGCGGGCGCUUGGGUGCUAAGGAGCUUAUGGCAUAAGGAGUAUUAAGCAGCAGUGAUGUUUCCCUGGGGAGGGGUUUGCCACAGGUUACUGCUCAGAGCAAAUCAUAAGGGCAAAGGGUGCAGCAGCACCUUUAGCCACGAAUUUCUUGGCUCCGCGGAGGAGAGCUGGCUGCUCAGACCCAGGGCUCUGCAGAGAUGCUUUGCAAUCCAGCCUGGGGCCGUGAUAUAGCACAUGUGGUGAAGGGCUGUGCUUCCUGCCAGAUGAUGUUUCGAUUCAGGCUGCCUUGCCUGCACAUCUCUUGCUAAUCCUUAUGGUUUCCAUAGGGUAUAUACCAGGAUUAGAAUAAGGAUUUUUCUCUGUCUGCAUGUGUGGAGUAGAGCUGUCUUCAGUCAAUCAGAUUUUGAGUGUCCCUGAAAUAUAAAUACUAUUUUUACUGUCUGGAAACCAUGCUGGCUAGUUUCUGAGGAAAGCUCUCUCCCAUCGUGGAGAAUUAGGAGGCAAGGAUUAAACCGGUGGGGAAGGGGAAGUCUUCAUAGCUUCAAACUCUCAGGUUUGAGUGUUCUUCACUUCUCCCAUACUUGCUUUCUGAGCAGUGUGUUGUACUGAAUUGCCUCGUCUGUGGCGGGCUAUUAUGAUUGAAAAUCUUUUAAUAGCAUUUGGAGCAAGUCUUACUCUGCCUUGCCUUUCUGUGGACAAUGGGGAAAAUGUCAGCGGCAGGUGUAUAUCGGGGUAGGGUCACGUUCUGAAGAUGCCGAUGUAGUUAAAAGAGCUUCUCCAAGUAACUGUUAAAGCUCCUGUAACUGGUUAAUUUCUGAAGUGGUCUGGUAUAACUUGCCCAGGGAAUAGACAGUGAUUUGGGGGCUGGGAAUGGUGAGGAUUCCCGCUUUUCUUCUAGCUACAGAUUUUUAUUUUCAAGAGCAAGUGAUCUUGUUCCCAUGUGCAGCUGAGUGUUGCAGGCUCUGCAGGGAAUGAAAUGGGGAAGUCCAGUGUCUAGGAAGCUCUGCUGGUUCUGCAUCAUUUAAAACUGGCAUUUUGUUAUCUCCUGGGGAACUGGGAAGGAGAGAACUAUUUCUGUAAGAGGCAGGGCAACUGCUCCAGAGAAUUAUUCAGUUGAUGGAAGUAUAAGGAGAAAACAGAACUGAAAGUGGCCUCUGAGGAAUGCAUAUUUUCAAAGUAGUAUUGAUGGCCUGGGGUGUUUUGUGCUGCUUACAUACUGUUCAGGUUUGAAAGCUUAGGGAGCAGCACUGGAAACAUGCUGACUUCCUGGUGAUGUCAUACUAAAGAAUUAGUUAAAUUAGAUGCUUCUGAAGAAGCACUUGGAUGUUGUGCGUGGACUACCAACAAAUUGCAUGGCCUGUAAAGUUGGGAAAGCCCUAUUUGUGUGUAAAUCAUUUCUUCUCCCAGGCUAUUCAAGUGGGGUGUUUGAAAUGUUAAAAGAAUCCAAAUGUAAAAUCAUGCUAAAGGCACUGUCAUCUUACUAUAGUGACCUCUAACAUUAGCCUUCCUUCCUCCUUCCCAAGUUUCAUUGCAGAAGUGAUGGGCACUGGAAAUCAGUCAUGAAUAGGACAGUCCUCAGAGGAAAGGCUGAACAGGUGCAGACAUAGAAGAAUUCUGGGGCAGGAUUUGGUCCUUGCCCUGCUCUGAGGGGAAGCCUCAACUAUGAAGAACAGAGACAGCCUAGAUGAUCUUGGUUUUCUUGGUGUGAUAAGGCCAGUACCAGAGUUCAUGGUUAUUAACUUCAGUCCCUCUAUGCUUUUGUAGGUACUUUCACAGUGUUUUGUUUUUGUUGCUGGGGUAUUCGCUUUUUUAUCUCAUUAGAAGAGAAGUGUUUGUGCCAUCUGAUGGAAACUUAUUCCAGGUUUCCAGCUUAUGGGAACAGUUUUUCCUUGGCCCAGCUGGUCUGAGAGCUUUGGGUCGCUGGAGUUUUGCCAGGGAUGAUUUGCCUGUCAUCUUCCUGGCAGUUCUAGGUUCUGUUUGUGCGUGUUUAAGACUGGAUCUUUCUCCCCAUUCUUCAGUGUUGGAGGAUGUGCAAGCCUCUUAAAAAGAGGUAUCUCAAAUUGUUUGGAAAAUGUCAUUAUGAGGUGAUCUGUCCAAACUGUUGCUUUUACAGUGCUUUUGCUAUAGAGUUCAGAAGAGUUGUGGGCUAGGUAGGAAGUUAUAAUUAUGCCAGUGAAACAGUGAAUGUGAAAUUUGCCACCGGAGCAAAUGGUGCAGUAGUCAAAAAGAAUGUUUCAGACCUUACCUAACGGCAGGGUCACUGAUGAGUUCAACAGACGGUGCCUGAAGGUUGUCAGGUGUAGAUUAUUAGCAAGAAUCUUUCUGCUGCUUGUUUGCAUAAAAUGAGCUACAUCUCAGUCAAGCUCCUCAUGAAUAAAUGUCAUUACUUGCCUACUUUUAUAGAGAGUGGUGACAGAAUUACGGGGGUUGAAUUGGCUGCAAGAGCACUGUUUGCGGAUAAGCUUCGUUGAUGGGAUAGUCUGAAGAAGGUUCCACUAUUCCUGUUCUGCUUGUAAAUGGGCACUUGAAUUUCCCAGACUGUAAAUCCAGCCUAUUUUACUAAUGUGAAAUUACUUUAUGAUAUUAUGAUAAUAGACAUUAACUCUCCUAUACAUUUGCAGAGUAUUUGAAUACUCUGAAUUAGGCAGUCACUGUAUAUGGUAUAAAUAAUGUUCAGUACUUAUAACCUAAGCCUUUUGUCUUCAACAUGAGGCAUUCUUUUUUUUGGGUGAACCAUGUUGUAGAUGCAGUUGUCUUACCAUGUAAUUCCUGCACCUGGCCUUGGCUUCCUUGGUUUAGGUCUUUGUGAUAAAAGCAGUCUCUGGCUGGUUCUAGACCCUUCUAUGGAUUUUUAUGAAUGCUAUGAUUUUACCCUGCCUGAAAUGAUUAAGUCAUUACUAUGAAGUAGGUUAAUCCUGCUCUCUGCUAGCAAGGUGUAUUACAUAACUGUGUAAUUAAACUUCAGAACUCAUCUGGCUGUUUUCACUUGCAGCUGCAGGGAGUAGUAUUGCUUGAUUUCUUUGAUCUCUGCUCUCUUCUUGUGGCAUAUUUUAGUUCUUGUGGCUUUUGGUCUUUCAUAUUUGAGUUUGUCCUCAGGUACUGGGAAUGUUCUGGGGUGUGUGUAUAGAGGAUAGUUUGGAUCUUUUGUGUACCUCCUCGAUUAACUGUGAGUUAUGUUGUUGUUGUUUGCCCUUGCAAGAUGCUUGACAUCCCAAGGCAGCCCUUAGUCUUAUAUUUCAGCUGGUGAAUCUUUAGAAUAGCCAUACUGACUUGCACAUGUUGACUCUGGAUUUCCUCGUUUUGGGGCAUGCUGUGAGUAAACAUCUUCAUUUCAUUGGUAUAUUGCAGCUGGUGGUAAAACCACUCCUUGUUCAGUGGGGGGUGCUGAUGCACAGAGAAAUGCGUAGCAUUGGUGUACUGUUCCGCUCUAUAUUCAUUUUGGUCUGUACUGCAGUAGGGCCAGCAUAAUACUGUCUAGCUGUAGGAGAGGAAAUCACAGUAUCUAUUAUAUAUGGGUUUGUGUUUCAUUUUCAGGGACCUGUUUUUGCAGCUGCACCCUUCCCCUGUGCCCUAGAGACAGAAAGCAUAAACACUGCUGGUGGGAUAUAUGUUCCCCUCGCUCUAAAUCCUCAGUUAUAGAGUGUAAAUCCUAACCUGGAGGAAGGAUCUCUGAAGUAUUCAGGGAAGAUCAAUCUCUAUGGCCUAUUCAGUAUUUGGCUUCUCUUCUGAGCCGUGAAAAAAAAGGAGGGGAGAGUAUAGUAUGUCCAGUGGCAAAUAUGACGGCUAAUUUUAAGCUCUAGACAUUGGCCUGCUGUAAACGGGACUGAGAUCACCAAACUUAUUUUACCCAAGCAGCUGAGUUACAUCUGACAGCUGACAUCUGGGUGAAAUUUCAGCAAGAAAACUGCAGGGGAGAAAAAGCACCACAUCCUAUUAAAGAAAAAAAUCUCUGCAAGAAUUGCUUAGAAAGGACGGAUGUGUCUCUCUUAUCUGAGCAGCCCGAAGCAGAUUGCUGGCUCGUCUAAUGCACAGUCCCUGAGGCCUGACGAAAAUGCUGGUACCCGUGUGCAUAGAAUACUAGUGUUGGAGCAGGGUCUGUGCCAGCCCACUUAGACCUAGGAGAUGCUGCUUGCACAGUUCCCCAAAGUUUCUGAGGAGUUAGGAAAAUCAGGUUCAUUGCAAGGUAGGUCUUCAUCUGUUUCAUUAUGAGCUGAGUAGGAGGGGUGGAAGCCGUGAUCGGAGCUCAGACGGGGGCGGCAUGUGGAAGGCUCUGAUGAGGAGGCAGAAGUUCUCAGGCGAAUGUGGGAUUGUGUCACUGUUGCAUGGCAUGACUUUCUCAGAGCUGUUCUGUUCUGGGAACGAGCCUGGGCUGAGCUUUGCAGCGGGGCAUGGUGGAUAGAGGGAGCCUCGUGAGGGUUGUUCUCUCCCCAGGCAGACAGCGCGUGCCGUCCCCGACGAGAGGCAGGAGGGUGGCGAUGGCACGCCGCGUUCUGAGAGACUGGGUAUGAGAGGGGAGCACCAGGAACGAAUGGCUUCGUCCUGUGUUGGUGACAGGUCUGCUAGGUGGCAGGAGCCAGAGAAUUUAAAUAAGGGGUCCUGACAGACAUUAUAAAAGGAAAAAAAAAAAAUUGACUAGCUUGCAGGAAGAGAGUUAUUCCAAACAGUUCCCUCCUUGUGAGCUGUCGAUGCACAUAAGUAAUGAAAGACAGGCUUCUUACUGAGAUUCUUGAUGCAACUGUCUUCUCUAUCCUCUGGAUUCACUGUGGAGAGGCCCUAAAAAGACACUAGCCUCUCCUAACAAAGGAAUCCAUUCAGCUCGGAUUGUAUUUUUAGCAAAGCGUGAUUCUUCUUCAGUUUCAAAAGUAGCAAGUGGGGAAUGCAGCCUACAUCAGUGCAAGAUGCAGAAUGAUCUCAUUCAGGCUGCAGCAUCUGUUUGGUUUGAAACAAUUACCAGUGAUAUCAGGAGAUCUGCAUUUUUUCUUAUAAUAGCCAGAGACCGUGGUAAACAAGAGCUGCUUUCUCUGCAUGCUUUCUAUGUCAGUGGAACACAACUGGGGAGAGAUGCUUCUGUUCUGUUUCUGGGAUCUCGGACUGCAAAUCUUGCAUUUCCAGCAACUGUUGUGCUUUGCAGGCAACUUUAUUUUUCUUGCAUGAUCUUUUUUCAUCAUUCAGCUUUAAACCAUGUGAACAAUAGAAAUAUCUGUGUGUGUUUCUUUUCUAUUAGUGCUUUUUGAGGCAUUGCAACUUGUUGAUAUACCAGUCUGUAGCAAAAUAAAUGCUUAAAAGGAAAUUGGACAAAAAAGGGUAGAAAACAGUAAUUCUUGCGUUCACAUCUCUAGUAUCUCAUAAUAUAGUUCUCGUGCUUUGUGAAAGCUGUUUUGCCAUAUAGAUCUGUUUCUUCCAUUUUCCCAACUCUUCCCAGCAGUUCGUUGGCAGAGAGGAUGUUCUGGCACACAGCCCUCUAACUGCAUCUAUUAGACAGUGCUUCCCUAUAACCUGACAGGUAAAAUUGCUGAAAGACUUGUGAAUCAGGGGCUGGUAUGCUAAGCAGGUCACAGUGGUGGCUCGGAGAGAAGAGUUCUGCCAUUAAUACUGUUCAUCCUUUUCUUUAGACUAUGUAACAAAGAGCUUUUGAGUGAAGAUACUUAAAUACAAUCAAUGAUUUUUCAAUUUUCAGUUUAUAAUUAUGGAAACGAGACUAAAGUUUCGGUUAAACUACUUAGUCCCUUGGUUGUGGAGGUGCAGACUUGUUAAUUAUUUUUUCACUAUAUUUUGAGUGUUUGAACUAUAAUAAUCAAAAGAGGUUGUGUUUGGGUGCACGUUUAAUCAUACAAAGUAUGUGUCCCACCCCUUGUGAUGCAAAUCCCUCCCAACAAACUGCUGAAACCAGUUACCUGAGUAAUGAAAUUAGACCAUGUUGCUUUUGGUACCAGGCCAAGUCUGUUUUUCUCUUACCAUAAAAUGAGCGGCGUACAUAGCUGUUUCUAGAUCCUACGCCCCUUGUGAGGGGUGGGGAAGGAGGAGGUCCGGCCUUUUCCCAGCUUACCCAGGGAGUUCAUGACUUGCUGGGCUCCGGGCCGGGCGCGGCGGGAAUGCCCCGCUGAAUUUUGAAGCCACGACAGGGCCCUUCUGAAGCUGUGGGAUACCAGCCUGUUGCAGUCGCAGAAAGUCAUGCACUUAUUCAUCUCUUUGCCACCCAGUUACUCAUUCAUCUUAUUUCCAAUAAAUAUGCCAGUAUGGCUGUGUGUUAUUUCCGUCAUUUGACUUCAGUAGAGUUACAGCAGGGGUGCAUCUGGUCUGUUGUCUGAAUGUAAUUGGUAGCAAAACUUAAAAAUGAAAGCGAACAGCACAUACUUUAGCCCUGACCCUGGAGGCACUUGGAGUGGUAGCACCCUGUGUCUAUUGUUUUGCCAGCUGGCAAAACUGUGAUGUUUCUGUGAAAACAACCCUGUGCAUGAGGCGGUUGUGCGGGAAUGGCCAAUGGCAAGCCCGAAUAAGGUUAAAAACAUGUUAACUUGUUUCAACACAAUUCCCUUUGUCCUUUCCCUAGUGGGUUUGCUGAACAUUGCUCUCAUUCACUCUGCUUGGUCCCUGCUCUCCACUCCUGCCUUCCGCGCUGCCUUUGCUGAAGCGAGCCCCUGUGAAGGCUCUGGGGCUGCGGCAGCCUUCCCCUUGGAGAGGGGGUUGUACUAGAGACUGCUGUUUGAGUUCGCCGUCUGCCUUGGUUUGGCAGCUUCUUAGUGCGUGCAGUUUCAAGUCGAUAAAUGCAUUUCUCACAUAUGGUUUUACAAACCAUGAAUCAAUCUGUUCUGGUGUUAAAAGGUAUUUUUCAGCUUUGAGUCUUUGCCUAGAAGAAUUACUAGGUGUAGGGACUAGUAAAAUUAGGCCUGAUUUCCAGGUACUACCAAGAUAUAAAUGCUAAAUGCUGAUGACUUACAAAAUCUGCUCUGCACCCUUAGGUUUCUGAUUUGGCAGCUUACUAAAAUGCAGGACUAAUCCGUCUUCCUGUCAGUUUUAUUUUACAUACUCAUAGAGGCCUCUUACACUGGCAUAGAAUAAAAUCAAAUGUCAUCAGUGCAUAUCCUACAAUGAGCACCCCUGCUUUUUAGAUGCGUUGUAGCUACAGCCUUUAGUAAAGACAGUCAACUUGCAUCCUGCUAAGUUUAUCAUGGUUGUCAUUUUUGUCUUUGCUUCCUCUGAGUAAAACCUAAUCCCAAAACUUCCCCAGAGCUGCACCUAAUUUUUGAAUUGAGAAUUUUGUAAAGGUAUCCAGAAAUAGAUUAUGACAUCAAUUGCAUUAUACCUUCUGCAAUUAUUAGCCUAAUCUUUUAAAGGUAAUAAUUAUCUCUGCGUUAAGAGUACCUGACACACUCUGACUCAGGCCUUUGAUUGGUACAGUAAUGACUGAAAUAAGGCUUCCCGGCUCUAACAGCAGUUGAUCAGCUUGUGGUUGCUCUGCAGUUGGAGGGAAGUAGUUUUAUCGAAGAAGUCCUGUGACUCUUCACUCUCUGUCCCUGCACUCUGAUU